UAACAUUCCUUCUCAUGAUGAUCAAGCAGGUGAGGUAGCAGCAAAAGAGAAGUAUGCUGUGGAGAUAACAAGUAGGUGGAGGAGCCCCUGAAGUCUGUGUAGAUGUCCUUCACAACGCAUAUAUCUGCAACGCCUGGAUUCGAGGAAUAGAGCCUGCAUCUUUAUAGCCUUGUACCAACCAGAAUCAUGUGAAAACUCCUCCAAAGGCAGUUGAACUUCAAAUGUUCAGCAACAUGAGCUUGUAAGAUGCAUACACUACCUUCAUACACACUUGCAUAUCCAGGAGGAAGAAGAAAUAAUACCAAGAGGAAGUAUCACUAUUAGCAAUUGCCAUUGGUUCAUGAGAAGCAUAUCACUGUGAAUACAACACACUCUAGCUAAAGCAGAAACUUCUUAUAGCGCAACAAUGCAUACUUCCAAGGCAUGUUCUGGACAGAUGAGAACAGUGGUCUUCACGCUGCACCUUACUGAAAACCAAUACCAGUACUAUCGCCAAACAGAAAUGCACACAUAUACGAGGAGAAUAAAAACAGCCUUGAAUAACCAACAAUAGAAA